rnacentral:rRNA from 1 species
GGAGGGUGCGAGCGUUAAUCGGAAUGACUGGGCAUAAAGGGCAUGUAGGCGGAUGAUUAAGUUAGGUGUGAAAGCCUCGGGCUCAACCUGAGAAUAGCAUUUAAAACUGGUGAUCUGGAGUACUGUAGAGGGAGGUAGAAUUCCACGUGUAGCGGUGAAAUGCGUAGAGAUGUGGAGGAAUACCGGUGGCGAAGGCGGCCUUCUGGGCAGAUACUGACGCUGAGAUGCGAAAGCGUGGGGAGCAAACAGGAUUAGAUACCCUGGUAGUCCACGCUGUAAACGAUGUCGAUUUGGAGUUUGUUGCCUAGAGUGAUGGGCUCCGAAGCUAACGCGAUAAAUCGACCGCCUGGGGAGUACGGCCGCAAGGUUA